AAACCAGCACCUCAAGUGGUCAGGAGGAUUAUUGGGCCUAAAGCAUCCGUAGCCUGUUCUAUAAGUUUCCGGUUAAAUCCACUAGCUCAACUAGUGGGCUGCCGAAAUUACUGUAGAACUAGGGAGUGGGAGAGGUAGACGGUAUUCGGUAGGAAGGGGUAAAAUCCUUUGAUCUAUUGAGGACCACCUGUGGCGAAGGCGGUCUACCAGAACACGUUCGACGGUGAGGGAUGAAAGCUGGGGGAGCAAACCGGAUUAGAAACCCCGGUAGUCC
rnacentral:rRNA from 1 species